rnacentral:rRNA from 1 species
GACGAACGCUGGCGGCGUGCCUAAUACAUGCAAGUUGAGCGAUGAAGCUUGGUGCUUGCUCCAAUUUGAAGAGCAGCGAACGGGUGAGUAACGCGUGGGGAAUCUGCCUUUGAGCGGGGGACAACAUCUGGAAACGAAUGCUAAUACCGCAUAACAACUUUAAACAUAAGUUUUAAGUUUGAAAGAUGCAAUUGCAUCACUCAAAGAUGAUCCCGCGUUGUAUUAGCUAGUUGGUGAGGUAAAGGCUCAACAAGGCGAUGAUACAUAGCCCACCUGAGAGGGUGGACGGCCACCUUGGGACUGGGACACGGGCCAAACCCCUAAGGGGAGCAACAGUAGGGAAACCUCGGGAAAGGAGGAAAGGCUGGACGAGGAACGCCGGGGGAGGGAAGAAGGUUUUCGGGUCGUAAAACUCCGUUGGUAGGGAAGAACGUUGGUGGGAAUGGAAAGCUCAUCAAGUGACGGUAACUACUCAGAAAGGGACGGCUAACUACGUG